rnacentral:rRNA from 1 species
UUUCAAAUCCAUGCUGAAUGGAUAUGAGCUCAUUAGGUUUUAGAAGCUAAGCAAUUGGGGCCUGGUCAGUACUUUGGAUGGAAGACCACAAGGGACUAUCAAGAAAUGUUAACC